rnacentral:rRNA from 1 species
UGGGGAAUAUUGCACAAUGGGCGCAAGCCUGAUGCAGCCAUGCCGCGUGUAUGAAGAAGGCCUUCGGGUUGUAAAGUACUUUCAGCAGUGAGGAAGGUGGAUAUGUUAAUAGCAUAUUCAUUUGACGUUAGCUGCAGAAGAAGCACCGGCUAACUCCGUGCCAGCAGCCGCGGUAAUACGGAGGGUGCGAGCGUUAAUCGGAAUUACUGGGCGUAAAGCGCAUGCAGGUGGUUUGUUAAGUCAGAUGUGAAAGCCCGGGGCUCAACCUCGGAAUUGCAUUUGAAACUGGCAAACUAGAGUACUGUAGAGGGGGGUAGAAUUUCAGGUGUAGCGGUGAAAUGCGUAGAGAUCUGAAGGAAUACCGGUGGCGAAGGCGGCCCCCUGGACAGAUACUGACACUCAGAUGCGAAAGCGUGGGGAGCAAACAGG